UACGGAGGGUGCGAGCGUUGUCCGGAAUCACUGGGCGUAAAGGGUGCGCAGGCGGCCAAGUGUGUUAGGCGUGAAAGCCCGGGGCUUAACCCCGGAAUUGCACCUAAAACUACAUGGCUAGAGCAUUGGAGAGGGUAGCGGAAUUCACGGUGUAGCAGUGAAAUGCGUAGAUAUCGUGAGGAACACCAGAGGCGAAGGCGGCUACCUGGACAAUUGCUGACGCUCAGGCACGAAAGCGUGGGGAGCAAAAGGG
rnacentral:rRNA from 1 species